UACGUAGGGGGCAAGCGUUGUCCGGAUUUACUGGGCGUAAAGAGCGUGUAGGCGGCCACGCAGGUCCGUUGUGAAAACUGGAGGCUCAACCUCCAGCUGUCGACGGAAACCGUAUGGCUAGAGUCCGGAAGAGGAGAGUGGAAUUCCUGGUGUAGCGGUGAAAUGCGCAGAUAUCAGGAAGAACACCCGUGGCGAAGGCGGCUCUCUGGGACGUGACUGACGCUGAGACGCGAAAGCGUGGGGAGCAAACAGG
rnacentral:rRNA from 1 species